rnacentral:tRNA from 1 species
GGAGUUGUGGCUCAGUGGUAGAGCGCUUGCCUAGCAUGCAUGAGGCACUAGAUUCGAUCCCCAGCACCA